rnacentral:tRNA from 1 species
AAGAAAGUGGCAGAUAUGGUUAUGCACCUGGCUUGAAACCAGCAUAGGGGGGUUCGAAUCCCUCUUUUCUUG